rnacentral:pre_miRNA from 1 species
UCUACAUUUCACGCGCUUUCUCACCGGUCAGAGACGCGACAGAGUGUGUGAAAUGAAGAGA